UACGUAGGGUGCGAGCGUUGCCCGGAUUUAUUGGGCGUAAAGGGCGCGUAGGCGGUCGCGCACGUCCGUUGUGAAAUCGCUCGGCUCAACUGGGCGGGGUCAGCGGAUACGGCGUGGCUGGAGCAAGCUAGGGGGCAAUGGAAUUCCCGGUGUAGUGGUGGAAUGCGUAGAUAUCGGGAGGAACACCAGUGGCGAAGGCGGUUGCCUGGAGCUUUGCUGACGCUGAUGCGCGAAAGCGUGGGGAGCGAGUCCGG
rnacentral:rRNA from 1 species